rnacentral:rRNA from 1 species
UACGAAGGGGGCUAGCGUUGCUCGGAAUUACUGGGCGUAAAGCGCACGUAGGCGGUCUUUUUAAGUCGGGGGUGGAAAUCCUGGAGCUCAACUCCAGAACUGCCUUCGAUACUGGAAGACUUGAGUCCGGGAGAGGUGAGUGGAACUGCGAGUGUAGAGGUGAAAUUCGUAGAUAUUCGCAAGAACACCAGUGGCGAAGGCGGCUCACUGGCCCGGUACUGACGCUGAGGUGCGAAAGCGUGGGGAGCAAACAGG